GAAAAGUAGCUCCGGCUACAAUGUUCUUCCGCAAGACGCGUGCAGUUCUGUUUAUUAAUCGCUAGAGGGCCAAAAAUCGCGGACUACAGCUUUAAGUAACGAUAAAUUUCCUGUUGCUUCACGUGUAACCCGGUGUAACCACAGUGAGAGUGACUAAAGUGAAUAUUAAAAAUGGCGUCCGUAACAACGGAAAGUCUUAUCACAGGGUGCGUCUCAAUCAGCUCCCUAGUUCAGUAGUCAGGGCACUCAGGGAAUCAGCAACAUUCAUUUUGAUAUACUGAUUCACGACCUAGGGAGCUGAUUGAGACUCAGGGACGGUUGACGCGGCUAGACAGCAGCCAGCGUGAAAGAGCGCAGCAUUUAAUUUGGGCCAAGAAGACAAAGCUGACGAAAGCAGUUCCAUGAGGAAACGUCGACUGGGUCCAAAAGAUAUGACAACGCAUUUCUCCGUCCAUUUUCCUGCCAUUGAUCAAGCCCCACCUAUUCAGCUGAUGGGCCAGAGGAGAAACCCGAUCACCUAACAAGAAAGAAGCAGAGGAGAGAGGAAGGAGAAAAUGAGAGAAAUGGAAACGUUGGGAUGAAUCACUUGACCUCUGAUCCACAGGCAGUGAGGGAAGUGUGUGUGUGUGUGUAUGGGUUUCUGAGCCAUUCAACCAAAUAUGGACUGAUGAGAGACUGUGACCAGUACAUCCAUCUUGUGUUCUCAAUAAGACUAGAGAGCUGAACCUGGGUGAGGUCAAAACCGCCGUACUCUCUAUGGGUUAAAGCUGCCUGUGUGAGUGACUAGCGGCAGCUCUAUAAAGGCUUGUGAGAUUGUGCAGGAAAUAGAGGAAACUAGAGUCUGAGGGAGACUGGGAGACAGAGGCCACAGCAGAGCAAGGAGGAACAGGUCGACUGCAGGACAAGCCCCUCUUGCCAAUCAAGAGAGACUGAUCCGACUUAGUGUUUUGCAAAAAACACAAACGGUGAAAUUCAUACUUCAACAAUGUCAGCUUUCCUCCGCUUGCCUGUCACUCAUCGGAAAAGGCAGCGAAGCUUCGGUUGCAGCCACUGAAAAAAAUACAGAUGCUCGAAAAGAAGAUCCUGUCUCAUUUCCUGUUCCUUCAUUCACUUCCUGACCUUUUCUGCGAUCAGCUCUGUGUUACUCGCCUUCCCAACCUCCACCAUCUGGUACUUCCUGUGCCCGGUGCUGGCUUAUUUGGUGUGGUGGUCGCUUCUGAUAACCUGACGGAGCGAGUAGCUUGUGCUUUUUGCUGGGCAAGGUGCCAGCCUCCUCUCCGCUGAACCUAUGUUUGACCGAAAGCGUGAGGAGUAGGUGUUUUUUUAUUUCUCUUGGAGGCCUCACUCAAAGGCCAGUUCUCACUCUGUAUAACCUGCACCGAGGCCUUUCGCAGCUCACAGAACAAGCCCUGACAGAACAAGCCCUUCUGUAUGCAGAGCGUCUUGCAAAAUGUUGUCUUUUUAAAAUGCGCAAAUCAAGGAAACAAAAUAGAUCCUGUCUUUAAUAAAUGCAGCAUUGAAAGCUGUGGCAAAUUUAAAAGGUGAAAAACAGGUGAAGGCCUGUCUUCAUUACAUUAGUAUUGACUUACAUAACCCUCCAUUUACGCUUUUCUCAACUAAGUCGAUGUCUUCCUUUCCUGUUCCAAGCAGUCCUAAAUGAUUGAAUUAGUGACUCGAUUAGACCGGACAAAAACUACAAAUCUGCUGAUCCAAAAGACAGGCUUUAAGUGCUUAUUUCCAGAAAGGACACUUCAAAGAAACCACUAUUUACAGCUCAAUUCUUGAUUUAAAAAUAUUUAAUAAUCAUAAUAAUAAUUUUGUGUUAUUGUUGUUUGCAAUUUAUUUGUUUGCCUUUUGGCUGUAAUUUAUCAAUCAACAUUGAUUUGGUAUUAUUUUUUGAUAAUGGCUCAGUUCUUGGUUUAGUUGAUGGUACUAAAACAGUAAACAGUUCUGGAAUUAAUUAUUUUUUUUUUUUUUUUUACAUAUUUACAUAAUUGAUAUUCCUAACUUGCUGCAAUCACAUAAAGACUGUAGACAGAUGAAAUUGGUAUUUUGAAGAUUUAUAUUUACAAUCUCAAAGAAAAUAAUUGUAAGACAUGAGAGGAAUUAAGCCCACACUUAAUCCUUAAAUCAAAGUGUGGAUUUUUUUGUUAAUGUUUUUUAUAUAAAACCCUUGAAUCUAUAGGCAUUUACAAGCUCACGAAAACAGCACCAGACCAAGAAAUAACACCCUUGAUGCUACAAAUGCCCAUGACCGCAAUAAACACUCUUGCGCCCCUUGAAAAGAACCAAGCAUUAAUGAGUUUGCCAAAGCGACAAACUCCAGUGUUGUGUUUGCUUUUCCGCUCCAUCAGGGAAUAUAAAGUUUAAGGGCCUUUCGCUAUCAGUGACCCAAGAAGAGGAGGCAUUUGUUGAAGAAGUGGCCGUUUAAUUGCGGAACUGCAAGGCUGCGCAGAAGGUUGCUAAUGCGGCUCUGAACAAUGACACCUUUGGAAGUACAGUUACAGGAGAACAAGGCCCCUAAUUUAUGUCAGCACUAUUGCAGGGUUGAAUUUAUUGAUGGUAAUGCAAGAUGGUGAGAUCUGCUUAAAAAGCCCCAAGGCCUCUUAUUAUACAACUUGUCUGUCUUUCACACUAACCUGAACUGUAACUGUAGAAUCUUAGCUGACAUGAAGGACAUAUGGCAUCCAAAGAAACCAUUAGAAGGACAGUACCCCUCUUGCUCAGAACCCAACGCCCCCUCCCACUCUCAUACUGUUGAAGUGUUGCUAAAGUUAGACUGCUUGCGAUCUGUGCAUUAGGGAACUGUGGAAGUCAUUUGAUGGAAAGCGAAUGCUAAUUUUCUGGUCGCUUUAGGAUUAUUAUUCAAACACAGGGAGAGGAAAUAUCAGGAUGGAACUGGAGAACAGGACGAAUGCGGAAAGCAUCUGGCCUGUAACUGAGAGGUCAGCUGGGAAACGCCACAGCCCCACGUACACGGCUGGGUGUAUAUAUAUUGUUUUAAUGUCCAGGCCUGCACUCUGUCUGCAUACUUCUAGUUGUCGAAAAGUGAUUUUUGACAAGGGUUCAGAUGAAGACAUGUGUUCUAUAGGCAUGUUGGCUCUGAACCCCUUUGACCCUCUAAAAGACACAAGAAUGUACUAACUCUCAAUAAUUUCACCUUUGUGUUUUACUGCAGUGGUGGGAGAGGAACAUCCAGCUUUAUUGGCCAUUAGAGGCCCUAAACUUUACCCAGUACCAGUCACUUCCCUCUUUGAAUAUUAAAGUUCCUCUCAGAACCUAAUCAGGCAGGAGUGGACAUCCAUUUCAUAUAUUCGUAUUACAUUAGAGGUCAACCUCAUGGUGACUGUGAGGUUAUCGCAACAAAUACAGACGAUAUGUCGAUACCAGUAUUGGUUAUAGCUUAUAAUCUGCUGACUCAACAGUUCUGUGAGGUGUUGCUUACUACAGGCACUGAAAUCAAAACCAUAGUGUCUCUAGAGGACAAUAUUGAUGUUUAGUACAUAGUAUCCACACAACUUUGAAAGCCAUAUAUUGUUAACCCCUUAUCAUUCCUGUAAAGUUAGCCUAAAACGCCUUUAAAAAAAGGCAUAGCCAAAGAUAAUUGCGUGCAGUUCUUGAACCAUUUGGAGUAUAUGUAUGGUUUUGGUCUUUUUAAAAGGUAACAAGUUAAAGAAUUAGUUCAUUUUAAAAUGAAAAUUAC